rnacentral:rRNA from 1 species
GAUGAACGCUGGCGGCGUGCCUAAUACAUGCAAGUCGAGCGAACAGAUGAGGAGCUUGCUCCUCUGACGUUAGCGGCGGACGGGUGAGUAACACGUGGAUAACCUACCUAUAAGACUGGGAUAACUUCGGGAAACCGGAGCUAAUACCGGAUAAUAUAUUGAACCUCAUGGUUCAAUAGUGAAAGACGGUUUUGCUGUCACUUAUAGAUGGAUCCGCGCCGCAUUAGCUAGUUGGUAAGGUAACGGCUUACCAAGGCAACGAUGCGUAGCCGACCUGAGAGGGUGAUCGGCCACACUGGAAAUGAGACACGGUCCAGACUCCUACGGGAGGCAGCAGUAGGGAAUCUUCCGCAAUGGGCGAAAGCCUGACGGAGAAACGCCGCGUGAGUGAUGAAGGUCUUCGGAUCGUAAAACUCUGUUAUUAGGGAAGAACAAAUGUGUAAGUAACUAUGCACGUCUUGACGGUACCUAAUCAGAAAGCCACGGCUAACUACGUG